CAGACCCAUUUGAAUAUCUGAGGAUACUUGGUAAUUACCUGUGCUCACCUUGUAUCCCCCCAGGAAACUAAACUGCUUGAGAGAAUCGACUGCUCUGUUUUUGCCCUUUCGACCUGACCAACACCUGGCAUGGUACCUGGAACCCGAAAUGGAAUUUCUCUGUGGUUGUGCUUCCCCUGUCUCUAAAAUGGAAGGAAUAAUACCUACUCCUUAGUGACCUCACAGCAAAAAGAUCAUCAGAAGCACUUGGCUGGUUCAGUGGAAAGAAGUUGCCAUAUAAAUUAUUCAUCCCUCAUUUGAAAGCUGAAGAUAUCCACUCUUCCUUCAGCCGACUUACAAGGAGCUCAUCUGAGGUCUAAGGAGACGUUGUCACUCCCCAUCAAUCAGCAGAGCCAGUGACCUGAGGACAGAGCCCACAGCAAGAUGAGCUUUCAGAUUUCCCUGACCCUGAGCUGGACUAUACUUGCAGGCCUGCCUCUUGCUGGCAUUGCCAAUCUCUCACGGAGGGGCCCCAGCUAUUCCAGAUUCCUGUAUUUGGCUCUUGUGAAGAGGGAGGUGAGGAAGAGAGGUCAGAUGGUAC
rnacentral:lncRNA from 1 species